GGGGAAAUAUGGGACGCGCUGGAUUCAGGAUCCAGUGGGAGUUAAUCCCGUGCGGGUUCAAAUCCCGUCCUCG
rnacentral:tRNA from 1 species